ACGUAAUUAAUUACAACUUUCAACAACGGAUCUCUUGGUUCUGGCAUCGAUGAAGAACGCAGCGAAAUGCGAUACGUAGUGUGAAUUGCAGAAUUCAGUGAAUCAUCGAAUCUUUGAACGCACAUUGCGCCCUUUGGUAUUCCAAAGGGCAUGC
rnacentral:rRNA from 2 species